AGAAAAGGAAGACUGCAACCAAGGACAACAUAAGAUUAGCUCUACUUUGUAGUAAGGCAAGAUUUGGCCCAAACAAAUUGCUGCUGGAAGAACAACACACAUGCUAUACCAUAAUGAUGAGCCUUGGAUUGGGUCAUGGGAAGAGGUUGCUGAGGUUGGCUGCCUUGCUGAAAGGGGGAGAGGAGAGGCAUCCUCCCAUCCCAGGAUAUGUGGAAAAACAUUUGGCUAUGAGGACCCGAUGGGCUGCAAAUUAUAGCAAUAAGAGUUUCCCUGAGCUGAAACCAGAAGUACCAGCUUUCUGCACACUUAACCUAUAAUUGUCUAUAACAUGCAUGGAGCUCUUGAGAGAUCUCUGUGGUUAUGGCUCCUUUUCACCACCUGACCUGCAAAGAUCAAGCUGCUGCCCAGCUUUUGAAGGUGUUAUUGCUGUUCAGAAAGAAGAUUUUCUGGCAUGUGAUAGGCAAGAACAAUGCCUCCUACUUUUAACUGAUGAUUGGAGGAACUUAAAGGUCUUUUCCAACCUAUACAAUUCUAUAAUUUUAAGCACUGCUUCCUUGCAUGGAUGUUAGGACUUGUAUUGCUUCUAGUGGCAAUGUCAGGACUGCAAGGCAGCUAAUGGGGAUGGAUUCACUCCUGCUCUUGUUGGUGAUAAUGCUGGUUGGCUUAGAUCCAGGAUUUGUUCAAGUGUUUUCGUGUCCCAUCAUGAGUACAAAGCAGCCCCUCAUUCAUGAAUCCACUGGGGAGCAGUCAGAAAGGAGAGGCUGCUGUUGGGUCAGCCAGAAGCUCAUCUCAUCUCACUGUGUGCCUGGACAAGGGAUCACUGAGCAGAUUUGUCCCAAAGAAGCAUUAAGCAGCAUUAUGUUUUCCAAUACAAAAUUCUCUUGCUUGUGUUGACCAGGAUAGGGUUCGCUCUUGUCACCUGUCAUGCAGCCUAAUUGCUUCACCCAGCCUUGAUUCGGAGCUCAGGAUUCAAGAUUCCCGAGAGAUGUGAUAUAAAUCCUUUCCUUUCUCUCUGUUGUAUGCGUCAUGCUGGUCAUCACCAUAACUCGCUGGAAGCAGUGCCAGUGAUACUACCA